AGAUCAAAUUGUUGGUCGUGCCUCGGUACGUACUGGCAUUAUUGAUUUCUCCCUUCUGAAGAACCACGAUGUCAUUAAUUUGGUGUCGUGGGGAAUCAGGACUGUUACUUUGAAAAAAUUAGAGUGUUUAAAGCAGGCUCACGCUUGAAUACAUUAGCAUGGAAUAAUGAAAUAGGACGUUUGAUUCUAUUUUGUUGGUUUUUAGAAAUGAAGUA
rnacentral:rRNA from 1 species